rnacentral:rRNA from 1 species
CUACGGGAGGCAGCAGUCGGGAAUUUUGGGCAAUGGGCGAAAGCCUGACCCAGCAACGCCGCGUGAAGGAUGAAGUAUUUCGGUAUGUAAACUUCGUAAGAAUAGGAAGAAUUAAUGACGGUACUAUUUAUAAGGUCCGGCUAACUACGUGCCAGCAGCCGCGGUAAUACGUAGGGACCAAGCGUUGUUCGGAUUUACUGGGCGUAAAGGGCGCGUAGGCGGCAUGGUAAGUCACCUGUGAAAUCUCCGAGCUUAACUCGGAACGGCCAAGUGAUACUGCUGAGCUAGAGUGCAGAAGGGGCAAUCGGAAUUCUUGGUGUAGCGGUGAAAUGCGUAGAUAUCAAGAGGAACACCUGAGGUGAAGACGGGUUGCUGGGCUGACACUGACGCUGAGGCGCGAAAGCUAGGGGAGCAAACGGGAUUAGAUACCCUUGUAGUCC